rnacentral:rRNA from 1 species
ACGAACGCUGGCGGCGUGCUUAACACAUGCAAGUCGAACGGAAAGGCCCUGCUUUUGUGGGGUGCUCGAGUGGCGAACGGGUGAGUAACACGUGAGUAACCUGCCCUUGACUUUGGGAUAACUUCAGGAAACUGGGGCUAAUACCGGAUAGGAGCUCCUGCUGCAUGGUGGGGGUUGGAAAGUUUCGGCGGUUGGGGCUGGACUCGCGGCUUAUCAGCUUGUUGGUGGGGUAGUGGCUUACCAAGGCUUUGACGGGUAGCCGGCCUGAGAGGGUGACCGGCCACAUUGGGCCUGAGAUACGGCCCAGACUCCUACGGGAGGCAGCAGUGGGGAAUAUUGCACAAUGGGCGGAAGCCUGAUGCAGCAACGCCGCGUGCGGGAUGACGGCCUUCGGGUUGUAAACCGCUUUCGCCUGUGACGAAGCGUGAGUGACGGUAAUGGGUAAAGAAGCACCGGCUAACUACGUG